rnacentral:rRNA from 1 species
AUUGAACGCUGGCGGCAGGCCUAACACAUGCAAGUCGAGCGGAUGAAGGGAGCUUGCGCCUGGAUUCAGCGGCGGACGGGUGAGUAAUGCCUAGGAAUCUGCCUGGUAGUGGGGGAUAACGUCCGGAAACGGGCGCUAAUACCGCAUACGUCCUGAGGGAGAAAGUGGGGGAUCUUCGGACCGCACGCUAUCAGAUGAGCGUAGGUCGGAUUAGCUAGUUGGUGGGGUAAAGGCCUACCAAGGCGACGAUCCGUAACUGGUCUGAGAGGAUGAUCAGUCACACUGGAACUGAGACACGGUCCAGACUCCUACGGGAGGCAGCAGUCGGGAAUAUUGGACAAUGGGCGAAAGCCUGAUCCAGCCAUGCCGCGUGUGUGAAGAAGGUCUUCGGAUUGUAAAGCACUUUAAGUUGGGAGGAAGGGCAGUAAGUUAAUACCUUGCUGUUUUGACGUUACCAACAGAAUAAGCACCGGCUAACUUCGUG